rnacentral:misc_RNA from 1 species
GAUUAACUUGAUUAAAAAUAAGUGCAUUCUUGCUCUUCCAUUUUUGCCAAAGAAUAAAAGCCUGCUAGUUGAUAAGAUUCGCCCCAUCUGGAUAUUGGUAGAGCGAAUUCUCAUUAAUUCCAACCAGAAGUCAAUUAAGGAUCAGUUAGCAAUCAAGGAUGAACGUAGCCGCAAGGGAAAGUGAAUCCAUAUGGAUAUGGCUUUGAGGCAAUCUAAAAGCAGAUGGUGCAAGGUCUCUUCAUCCCCGUAGAAAUUACAGUCUGGAGCAAAGUACUGGAGAUGCUUAUCGAGAAGAUCAUUGCGGGGAAGUCUUUGGUUAAAUAAAUUCCAUAAGAAAAUUUUGACUUUACUCAGAAAUUGACGCUUUCAAAAUUCCUUCC